ensembl:ncRNA B0454.12 ncRNA
CAUUUCUAGUGCCUUGGCGCUUUUUGCGUGCCUUGACACUUAUCUAGUGCCUUGGCGCAUUUCUAGUGCCUUGGCGCUUUUUGCGUGCCUUGACACUUAUCUAGUGCCUUGGCGCGUUUCUAGUACCUUGGUGCAUUUCUAGUGCCUUUGCGCAUUUCUAGUGCCUGGGCGUUUUUUGUGUAUUGGCGCAUUUCUAGUGUCUUAAGGCAUUUAUAGCGCCCUGGCGCAUUUCUAGUGCCUU